CUCAGGAUGAACGCUAGCGACAGGCUUAACACAUGCAAGUCGAGGGGCAGCAUAAAAGUAGCAAUACUUGGUGGCGACCGGCGCACGGGUGAGUAACGCGUAUGCAACCUACCUAUCAGAGGGGAAUAACCCGGCGAAAGUCGGACUAAUACCGCAUAAAACAGGGGCACCGCAUGGUGAUAUUUGUUAAAGAAAUUCGCUGAUAGAUGGGCAUGCGUUCCAUUAGGUAGUUGGUGAGGUAACGGCUCACCAAGCCGACGAUGGAUAGGGGAACUGAGAGGUUGGUCCCCCACACUGGUACUGAGACACGGACCAGACUCCUACGGGAGGCAGCAGUGAGGAAUAUUGGUCAAUGGGCGGGAGCCUGAACCAGCCAAGUCGCGUGAAAGGAAGAAGGAUCUAUGGUUCGUAAACUUCUUUUGCAGGGGAAUAAAGUGCAGGACGUGUCCUGUUUUGUAUGUACCCUGAGAAUAGGGAUCGGCUAACUCCGUGCCAGCAGCCGC
rnacentral:rRNA from 1 species